rnacentral:lncRNA from 1 species
CGAGUCAGUCUCUCAGCAUUGUCCUUGCCCUCCCCAAUUGCUCCCUUUCCCUGCUGCUGAUCCAGGGGACCCAUCGAUUCUCUCACGGGCUUCCUGAUUCUGCUGGACUGAAAUAAUUCCCUGGUAUUUGUUGUAUAUCUCUGGCUGUUCCAUUUAGCCUCCUAAUUCCCAUCAUGCACUUCACCCGAAGCGAAUGCUCCUUUCUGCAGGCUUCACAGGGUUAAUAUUUUCCAUUUGCAGAGGGAUCCCUGUUUAGCUCUAACAACCUCCUGCACCUGGCCAGGUGGGGUUACUGUAUUUCUCCCCUUCCUGCUUCCUUUGUUGCUCAGGGGGUGCAGGUGUCUGGCUGCUGAUGUAGCUUCCAGGCUGAGUCUAAGGAUUGUAACUUCCCUGCUUUAAGGUCUUUUUGACUCACUUCUCUUCUGCAAGAUAAUGUGAUAUUGACUCAUUUCUCUUUAUUUUAUUUUUAGACAAACUCCAGGCUGAGCUCAGGUGGAGAUGCGCCCAGCUCUACGCAGGUACUGUACAUACCACUGAUGUUUUAUCCAUAGUGAGGCCCCACCUCCCCCUAGGAGCUCUCUGCUCCUUUCCCUGCACAGAGCAUUUUCCUAUGACAUUCAAUAGGCUGGAAACAGCAAUAUCACUGGGGUGGAUGGAAAGGGGCAGACAAAACCCAGGUUUAUUGCAGAGCAGGGACCUGCCCCCUUUGGGAAAGGGCUGAUUAGUGAUGAAAUGCUGCCCCCUGGUGUCACCUUUCCCAGGUGGUACCUGGGCUCUGCAGGAUGGACAUUCUUAUCUGGCCAUAAUUGAACUGAACUGCCAAGCUCUCUCUUCCCAGCAGCAGGAUCAGACCAGGCUUUAGCCACAAUUUCCUUCUAGUGUAACAGGCCCAGACAGGAGCUGUUCAGUGUCCCCCUGGAAUUGGGGUGAGGAAGGCCCUGACCCCACUGCAAGAGCAGACACGUUUUUAUAACCAGCUCGUGACACUCCCUUGACCCAGUUACAACAAACUGCCCAGCCCACGCGGCAGCUUUUCUGCCUCACAGUCGUAGCUGAGCUGUGUCUGUGUGUUUGUACCCAGCAUCCAGCCCAACCAUGUGUGCACUGGUGCAUGCUGGGAGAGUCUGGGCAGCUCCAGCAGGCAUCAGAGAGCCCAGG